UACGUAGGGUGCAAGCGUUAAUCGGAAUUACUGGGCGUAAAGCGUGCGCAGGCGGCUUUGCAAGACAGAUGUGAAAUCCCCGGGCUCAACCUGGGAACUGCAUUUGUGACUGCAAGGCUGGAGUACGGCAGAGGGGGAUGGAAGUCCGCGUGUAGCAGUGAAAUGCGUAGAUAUGCGGAGGAACACCGAUGGCGAAGGCAAUCCCCUGGGCCUGUACUGACGCUCAUGCACGAAAGCGUGGGGAGCAAACAGG
rnacentral:rRNA from 1 species